AGAGAGAGAAUCGAGGCUCAAAACACCCCCUUUGAUGCCAAAACGGCGUUCUUUGUGGUAGAGCCAGACGAGAUGUAUCUGAAGGGUACUCUUGUUAGUAGAGAGGGUGGCAAAGCUACUGUCAAAACUCUGUGUGGGAAAACACUCGCGGUAAAAGAAGCUGAAAUCUUCCCCAUGAAUCCUCCCAAGUUUG